rnacentral:rRNA from 1 species
CCCUUAGAUGUUCUGGGCCGCACGCGCGCUACACUGAUGCAUUCAACGAGCCUAUCCUUGACCGACAGGUCCGGGUAAUCUUUGAAUCUGCAUCGUGACGGGGAUAGAUUAUUGCAAUUAUUAAUCUUCGACGAGGAAUGCCUAGUAGGCGCAAGUCAUCAGCUUGCGUCGAUUACGUCCCUGCCCUUUGUACACACCGCCCGUCGCUCCUACCGAUUGGGUGUGCUGGUGAAAUGUUCGGAUCGGCCGUUUGUCGCGGUUUCCGCGUCAUGUGGCUGAGAAGUUCAUUAAACCCUCCCACCGAGAGGAAGGAGAAGUCGUAACA